rnacentral:lncRNA from 1 species
UGAGAACAUGCUGGUUAAUGCGUAUGUAAGCGCAUGUCCAGCAUGUGGGGAAAUGUGUUUGGCUUAAUGAUUGACAGGCAUUUUAUACUCCUUUCUGUGACCUUCGGAACUCUGUGAACUACAAAGGUUAGUUUCUAACUUUGUGAAUUUUCAUAGAA